GAAGGCAGUGAUAUUCGUUCACGUGCCUCCUCUAUGGCAUCAGUAAAUGAUUCCAUACGUUUCAGCACCCGGGCAACAGCACUUGAACAGUGGAUUGCUGAAAGGAAAAACACCAAGUUGGCAAAGGCAACAGCAAAUGUUAAUAAUCACAAAUGAUGGCGAAGAUGAAAAGUCCGGAUAGUUCACCAUUAUCUUGCAAGGAAAUUUGGUGCAGAAGUAUAGUUGAUUGACAAUUCCGAAUCUGACACAAUGAUUCAUUUGUGAAUUUAAAGUGGUUCUACCCUUUUUUAAUUACUUGGCCUGUUGGCCAAAACCCAAUAUGUAGCUUUUGUUCACAUUGCUUGGCUUUAAGUGCUGCCCAUUUUACUAAAAUAUCGUAUCUUGCCACCUGU